rnacentral:rRNA from 1 species
ACUUAAGCAUAUCAAUAAGCGGAGGAAAAGAAACCAACCGGGAUUGCCCUAGUAACGGCGAGUGAAGCGGCAAGAGCUCAAAUUUGAAAGCUGGCCCCCUCGGGGUCCGCAUUGUAAUUUGCAGAGGAUGCUUCGGGAGCGGUCCCCAUCUAAGUGCCCUGGAACGGGCCGUCAUAGAGGGUGAGAAUCCCGUAUGGGAUGGGGUGCCCGCGCCCGUGUGAAGCUCCUUCGACGAGUCGAGUUGUUUGGGAAUGCAGCUCUAAUUGGGUGGUAAAUUUCAUCUAAAGCUAAAUAUUGGCCGGAGACCGAUAGCGCACAAGUAGAGUGAUCGAAAGAUGAAAAGCACUUUGAAAAGAGAGUUAAACAGCACGUGAAAUUGUUGAAAGGGAAGCGCUUGCGAUCAGACUCGCUCGCGGGGUUCAGCCGGCCUUCGGGCCGGUGUACUUCCCCGCGGGCGGGCCAGCGUCGGUUUGGGCGGCCGGUCAAAGGCCCCUGGAAUGUAACGCCUCUCGGGGCGUCUUAUAGCCAGGGGUGCCAUGCGGCCUGCCCGGACCGAGGAACGCGCUUCGGCUCGGACGCUGGCAUAAUGGUCGUAAGCGACCCGUCUUGAAACACGGACCAAGGAGUCUAACAUCUACGCGAGUGUUCGGGUGUCAAACCCGUGCGCGCAGUGAAAGCGAACGGAGGUGGGAACCCCUCGGGGUGCACCAUCGACCGAUCCUGAUGUCUUCGGAUGGAUUUGAGUAAGAGCGUAGCUGUUGGGACCCGAAAGAUGGUGAACUAUGCCUGAAUAGGGCGAAGCCAGAGGAAACUCUGGUGGAGGCUCGCAGCGGUUCUGACGUGCAAAUCGAUCGUCAAAUUUGGGUAUAGGGGCGAAAGACUAAUCGAACCAUCUAGUAGCUGGUUCCUGCCGAA